UGUACAAGUGUAAAAAAAGAAAAAGCUCCAGUGAUUUGGAAAGCAAGGUCUACUUAACCGACACAAACAUGGAGUCUGUCAUCUAUGAGAAUUGUGCUCCAGUCUCCAAAUUGGAGGAGUCUGGCUACGAAAACGUCAAUCCAUCCUCCACCUACGAGACCCUCAAUCC